GAGGGGGUAAUACCCGGCCCGGCUGCGGCGGGGGAGGUGGAGCCGGUGGAGCCGGUGUCGGAGCGAAGCUGUGUCUCCCUCCGUGAGCGCCAAACCCGGCAGGGAAAAAGUAGCCCUGACUACUUAACCCAGACCAAUUCUGCCAGCAGCUCAUUGCCUUGUCUGUGGUACAUAUGGCCCAAGAGAGACCAUCCCCACUCCCAGCUGCUCUCGUUGAAAGCACCCAGAGGCACUUGCAAGAAGUGGGAGCUACGUUAAGCAACACUCUGCACAAGCACAUGGGAAAGCAGGAUAUUUUCCUUGGACAUCUUGCAAUCCGUGUAAAGACGAGCUGCAACAGAAGGUCCCUCUAGGAAACUGUCCCAGACACAACAGGAAAAAGGGAACCUACAGUGGGACUUUACAAGCUGGC